CGGCUGAACUCUCGGACCGCCGCCGGCACGUCCGCUCCGACGGCUAACGGCGCAAAGCCUUGGACCCACGCCGAGUAGUUCGCCUCCAUUGCCGAAAACACCUUCUCAAUCUCCUCUUGCUCAAAUCCGCCAUGGUAAUCUCUAUCAUUCAAAAAUCUAAAAACAAGAAAAAUUGGAUUAUUGGGUUUGGACCAAAUCAAUUUUGAGAAUUUAACAUUGUGGGUAAUUGAAUAAUGUGUCAAUUGUGCGCGUAAUUGAGGCAAAAUUUUAACUUAUUCGAUUGAUAUGGUUGGCCGAUUACCUGGGAGAAGCGCCGAUGAGGACGAGCUUGGAGAAGAGGUUGGGUCGGCGGAUGGAGGCGAGAAUUCCGAUCAUGGCGGAGACGGAGUGGCCAACGUAGGCGCAACGGGUGACGGAGAGGGCGUCGAGAAUGGCGAGGAGGUCGUCGACGUAGGCGUCGAGGGUGGUGUAACGGCGGAAGUCAAAGUAGUCCGGGUUGACGCUGCCGGCGCAAACGAG
rnacentral:lncRNA from 1 species